UGGUGGAGUGAUUUGUCUGGUUAAUUCCGAUAACGAGCGAGACCUCAGCCUACUAACUAGUUAUAGGAAUCUUCGGGUUCUGUUCACGUAACUUCUUAGAGGGACUUUGGGUGCUUUAGCCCAAGGAAGUUUGAGGCAAUAACA
rnacentral:rRNA from 1 species